UGGUCCUAACCUUAAUAUCAGUUUUUACUCAAUUUAUACAUGCAAGUUUCCGCACCCCUGUGAGAACGCCCUUACUUCCUGUCAGGAACAAGGAGCUGGUAUCAGGCACAAUUCUUAGCCCAAGACACCUAGUUUGACCACACCCACAAGGGCACCCAGCAGUAAUUAACAUUGAGUAUAAGCGACAGCUUGACUCAGUUAGAGUAAACAGGGCCGGCAAAUCCGGUGCCAGCCGCCGCGGUUACACCACGAGGCCCAAAUUGACCUUUUUUCGGCGUAAAGCGUGAUUAAAGUUAUUGACACAAUUAUAGUUGUACCUAAACUAAGCCGUAACACGCUUGUCUCUGAGAAAUACAAAAACGAAAGUUACUAUAUAUACACCAACUUGAACCCACGACAGCUGGGAAACAAACUGGGAUUAGAUACCCCACUAUGCCCAGCCGUAAACUUUAAAUUACAUCUACAUCGCCAGGGAACUACGAGCUAAGCUUAAAACCCAAAGGACUUGACGGUACCCCACAUCCACCUAGAGGAGCCUGUCCUAUAAUCGAUAACCCCCGCUUAACCUCACCAUUUUUAGCAUAACAGCCUAUAUACCUCCGUCGUCAGCUUACCCCGUGAGUGAUCCUCAGUGAGCUUAAUGUCCUUACGUCAAAACGUCAGGUCAAGGUGCAGUAAAUAAAAUGGGAAGAGAUGGGCUACACUCUCUAAUUUAGAGUACACGAAAGACUUUAUGAAAUUUAGUCAGAAGGCGGAUUUAGAAGUAAAAAGGGACCAUAGAGCUCUUUUUAAUACGGCACUGGGGUGUGUACACACCGCCCGUCACCCUCUUCAAAGCCAAGAGACAGUACUUAACACAAGACAGCUGACUAGAAGAGGCAAGUCGUAACAUGGUAAGCGUACCGGAAGGUGCACUUGGAAA
rnacentral:ncRNA from 1 species